AUGCCAGCGAGCAGCCGGCCGCUACGUAGACUCGUCCAAAAAGAUAAUCCCUACCCGUCCCCCGGCGCCGCCAUUCCUCGCCCGAGCCGGCGCUCCCGCUGGAGGACGAGGACCUCCUACAGGAGAUCCUCCUCCGCUGCCGUCCGCCCUCCCCCGCGCCUCCCUCCGCUGCAAGCGCUGGCGCGGCAUCCUCUCCGACGCCCGGCACCACCGGAGGCGCUCGCUCCUCAGCUUCAUGACAAGGUGGGAGUACGGCAUGAGGCACGAAUUCGUCCCUCUCCCGCACAAGAAGCCCGACCGCAUCCCCCCGGUGCGCUUCGCCGUGCCCAGGAGCUGCACCAUUCAUGGGCGCUGGCAAUUCCUCGGCUACCGCCACGGCCUUGCCGGCAUGCUCAAUGUGUGUCGGCGCGAGGUCGUCGUCUGGGAUCCCCUCACGGGCUGGCAGCACCGCGUGCCUUUUCCACCGGGGAUCCGCAACUCCGAGGGGGAGGGUUUGUGGAUAUGGCACACGCAGCGGUGCUGUGUGCUGAUGCUGAUGUCAAAUGUGGUUGUUCUGGCUACGCUUUUUGGCGACUUCGUGCUCCUACUUGA
rnacentral:rRNA from 1 species